GUGGGAAAAGCUCAACUUUGAAAUCUGGUACUUUCAGUAUCCGAAUUGUAGUCUCAAGAAGUGUUUUCUGUGCCGGUCCAUGUAUGAGUCUGUUGGAACACAGCGUCAUAGAGGGUGACAACCCCGUUCAUGACAUGGAUCCCGGUGCUUUGUGAUACACUCUCGAAGAGUCGAGUUGUUUGGGAAUGCAGCUCAAAUUGGGUGGUAAAUUCCAUCUAAAGCUAAAUAUUGGCGAGAGACCGAUAGCAAACAAGUACCGUGAGGGAAAGAUGAAAAGCACUUUGGAAAGAGAGUUAACAGUACGUGAAAUUGUUGAAAGGGAAACGAUUGAAGUCAGACGUGCGUGAUGCGGUUCAGCUUUAGUUCGCUAGAGUGUACUCCGUAUCUUUGCAGGCCAGCAUCGGUUUUGUUAGUCGGAUAAAGGUUUGAGAAAUGUGGCAUCUUCGGAUGUGUUAUAGUCUCAGACUGAAUACGAUUGAUGGGACCGAGGAACGCAGCGCGCCGCAAGGCAAAGGUUCCGACCUUUUCGCGCUUAGGAUGCUGGUGAAAUGGCUUUAAACGACCCGUCUU
rnacentral:rRNA from 1 species